ACAGGCGCGAAUAGAGUGUGCUUGCUCGUUAGCUCACACUUGCUGCAACAGAGGGAUUAGUAUUGGUGAAGACCUCAGAGAAGUGCCAGGGACAGAUUACUUGGGCGAGGCGGAACCAACACACGUGCAUAGAUUAUGCAUUGGUAUCGCCCAGAAUUUUCCAGGCCUUGCGAAGAAUGUAAGUGGAUGUGGACGGAUUGGGCAGCCUCGGCAGUAACCACGAUAGAAUACGCUUGUCCUUUGGUAGUGGUCCUCGGUACUGUGAACGACAACAUAGAGCAAUGAGGCGAAGACUAACGGAUCAGGAAUUGCAAGAGAUGGUAGCAGAAUCAGAAAUGAGGGUACAGGAGGUGGGCACCUGUGAGGCCCUUACAGAGGAAAUGAAAUGGGUGCUGAACCACAAACUUUUAAGAAGAAAUCUGUAAAACGAUGGAGGGCAAAACCAUGGUGGACACAUGAAAUAGCAGCAGCUAUAAAGGUCAGGCGUGAGGCGAACCGAAUCCAUCGACAAGCAAAUAAAGAUGGGGAUGAGAAUAUCAUUCUCCAGGCAUGGGACACUUGUCCCUGAAAAAGGAUCCAGCCAAGCUUGUGCAACAAAGCUUACACCGAGAGUUCAUGCAAGAACUGAAGGCCGCAAGUCCACAGGCAUCGCAAAGAUUCUGAUGUGUUAGUUCCCUUUAUGGAGCACCCAAGAAGUUGCGUGUUUCGGACAUUGCCAUAAGUGCACCACACGAGCCUCUUCACAGAACUUUGUUGGCCAUUAUGUAGCAGUUUGAUUUGUUAUGUCCUUCAGAUUGGGAUGGUUGUGUGACUCUGACCACUGUCUGCUGCCUUGGAUUGGUUGUAUUGGAAUGGGGGAAAA
rnacentral:lncRNA from 1 species